CUUGUGUGCAGGUGAUCCACACUCAGACAGGCUCUACCUAUCCAUCCUCCAUCAGCCAGCUGCCCACAAAGGCACGACUACCUCUUCUCCUGGUACAGAAGCAUCCCUGGAGGUGCCUUUCCCAGGCAGCUCAUGGGAACUGGGGUCACAUACAGCCCCCUUCCCAUCCUCAUCCCUGGCUGCAACAGCUGGGUUUGUUUCUCUGCGAGUCUAAUAUGGUACGUGUGGUCCCCUCCUGGAGCACUGCUGGGUGUAAGCAGAGCCCUGGAGCUGUCUUUAUGAAGCUGUAGUGGAACAGAGGUGCAGGGAUCCCAGGGGCAACUUGCUUUCCUGCUGCACCUUCUGCUCACACCCCCCAAGAACUUCUGCCUUUCAGACCCCCCAGGAACCACGUGCAGGAAGUUGCAGCCAGGAGGUGGACGUAUCUUGCUCUUCAGGAAUGAUGGGAGCCAUCUCUGUGAGGCAGUGCUGCAUUGUUAUGUGAUGCUGUUGAAAAUGGCAUUUCUUCUGCUGAAAUACCAGUUUGCUCCUUCAAGCUCUUUAUUUUUCAGAGGUGACAUUGGAAUUGGCAGUCUCUUCAAUAACUUCAGGUCU